AGCCCUGUAGUGUAAUGGAUAGCACACUCGCCUUACAAGCGAGAGGACCCGGGUUCGAUUCCCGGACAGGGUGA